rnacentral:rRNA from 1 species
GAUGAACGCUGGCGGCGUGCCUAAUACAUGCAAGUCGAGCGAACGGACGAGAAUCUUGCUUCUCUGAUGUUAGCGGCGGACGGGUGAGUAACACGUGGAUAACCUACCUAUAAGACUGGGAUAACUUCGGGAAACCGGCGCUAAUACCGGAUAAUCUUUUGCACCGCAUGGUUCAAAAGUGAAAGACGGUCUUGCUGUCUCUUAUAGAUGGAUCCGCGCUGCUUUAGCUAGUUGGUAAGGUAACGGCUUACUACGGCAACGAUGCAUAGCCGACCUGAGAGGGUGAUAGGCGACACUGGAACUGAGCCAGGGUCCAGACGACUGAGGGAGGCAGCAGUAGGGAAUCUUCCGCAAGAGGCGAGAGCAUGACGGAGCAACGGCGAGUGAGUGAUGGAGGUGUUCGGAGCGUAAAAAUCUGUUAUUAGGGAAGAACAUAUGUGUAAGUAACUGUGCACAUCUUGACGGUACCUAAUCAGAAAGCCACGGCUAACUACGUG